rfam:Buceros rhinoceros silvestris contig120120, whole genome shotgun sequence.
ACUCCCGUUCUUGGCAGGCCCUGGCCGCCCUGUGCCCAGGUCUGUGAUGUCCGGAGGUAGAGCAGCGACUCUUUCACUGCAGUACUUGU